AUUCCUCUCCCCCAUACCCCCUACCCCGGUCUUGGAUGUUUUCUGGAGGAACUGGGGAGCGUGGGCGCGUUAAGUUAUAGGGAAAACCCCAAUUCCUGAGACGUGGAUGAGGGCGCAUUCUAGUCUGUGAUUCCGAAACCAGCCAUGAUUCGCUGUGAGCUUCCCACCCCUGUGCUGGAAGGCGCCAAGUUCUGAACACCUGUGGCCUCCUCGUGGCCUCCAGGUCCUCUGCGGGAAACACCCAGCGUCCUUUGUCUGACCAACUCCUACACGUCAAUCACCGGCAAUUCGGACGCCACCUCUUCCAGGAAAUUUCCCUGAAUCUGCAGAAAGUUACUCCUUCCCUGAGGAUGGAUGUCAGUUGCUGGAUUCGUGAACCUUCCCUUUGCCUUCAGUCCCACCAGUCUAUGGUCCAAACAUAAGAUCCUUUAAACUCCCGUAUGAGCCCUCCAGUGGGAGCUUCCGCAUAAGGUCCCACUGCUUGUUGAUGGCCCAUGAAGGACACUGGUGUUAAGUCCUGCUGCGGUGAGGCAUCAAGGCUCUUGUGAAGAUGCUCUGAUGUUUACUGGAGCCCUGGAACCACACCCAGCAUCAAAACAAAGCAGCGCCAGCGUCUGCCCCCUAUUCCACAACUGUCCUCUCCAUAGCGUGGAGUAGAGGCUGGUCACCUUUUGGUUGAUGACUUCUGCCUCUUCCUCCAGCAAGGCUACCAGCCGCCUUAGCAGGGCUUCCUUCUCCGUGGGUGGGGGUCCCUGGAACUCUGGGGGUGGGGGGCAGAAGAGAAUUGGACUGGGAAGGGCCCUGGCUUUGCUCCUACCAUCACCCCUCACCAGGGCUCCUCUGCUGCUUACCUGAACUGGGCGGGGACUUCAGUUGCUCCUGCACCAAUUGUUCCAGCCGCUGGGCAACCAGGGCAUAGAACUCGGAAGAGGCUGGGCCUGAGCAGAAAGAAGCAGCGACGCUUUCUGUUUACAGAACACGGUAUUUAUGGCGUCUCUCCUAACCAUCUUGCCACACAGCAACAAUUUCCACUUCACAAAAGGAUACACCUCGGCCAUGAGACGUUGGUAAAUAAAAGAUAUUAAAUGAA